AUUGAACGCUGGCGGCAUGCUUUACACAUGCAAGUCGAACGGUAACAGGCCGCAAGGUGCUGACGAGUGGCGCACGGGUGAGUAAUGCAUCGGAACGUGCCCAGUCGUGGGGGAUAACUACUCGAAAGAGUAGCUAAUACCGCAUACGAUCUAUGGCUGAAAGCGGGGGACCGUAAGGCCUCGCGCGAUUGGAGCGGCCGAUGUCAGAUUAGGUAGUUGGUGGGGUAAAGGCUCACCAAGCCAACGAUCUGUAGCUGGUCUGAGAGGACGACCAGCCACACUGGGACUGAGACACGGCCCAGACUCCUACGGGAGGCAGCAGUGGGGAAUGUUGGACAAUGGGCGCAAGCCUGAUCCAGCAAUGCCGCGUGCAGGAAGAAGGCCUUCGGGUUGUAAACUGCUUUUGUACGGAACGAAACGGCUCUGGUUAAUACCCGGGGCUAAUGACGGUACCGUAAGAAUAAGCACCGGCUAACUACGUG
rnacentral:rRNA from 1 species